AACGCAUAUUGCGCUCUCUGGUAUUCCGGGGAGCAUGCCUGUUUGAGAACCGUUUAACCCCUCAUCCCAAAUGACUUGUAUGAGUUGUUUUGGGUAUGGAUCUGGACGUUCCCCAACUCGAUCAAAAGAGCUGGGGUUGUCUGAAAUGCAGUUGUCGUGCGAAACGGCUGGUUGUAAAAGACCAAUCGUACUCGAGAAAACUACCGACGGUUGAUAAUGUGAGAUUUAGUUCUCCUUUCACACGUCCGAACCUCUCGUGGUUGACGCCGACUCACUUUGACAUGCCAGGCGUUGUCUCUAUAUGGGAUGGCGAACACCUGAACACAUGGUCUCAAAUCAAGCAAGAGGACCCGCUGAACUUAA
rnacentral:misc_RNA from 1 species